CUGCAUGCAGGCUCAUGGGCUUUUUGUGACCUUGCUCUAUGUUCUAUCUUGUUCACAGUUUGGUCACACCGUUUGUUCAUGAGAUUACUGAAGGGGAAGCGAGAGAAGAGGUCUGGUCAUCUGUUAGUUACUUAUUCUUCAUCUCUACUUCUUUGAUCUAUGGAAAGAACCAACAAGUUAGGCAAGGCAUUGUGUGAUUAAAAGAUCUGAAAGGUGUGCUUGGACCGGAGAUGAGAAGAGCCUGGUGGUACCUUGUUUACAACUUUUCCAGCAAAGCGCAGCCACUGCUCCUUACCUUGGAUGAGGGAUAUCACCUCACCGCCAUCCCUCCUGACCUUGAAUGUGGAGUAGCUCCUCUCAGCCCUCCUGCACCUGCGCAGCCACGACUCCAUGGUUUCUUUAGUGG
ensembl:lncRNA